CUGGAUGCCUGAAGAUUCCACCCGCAGAGAAGCAGGGCCUUGCUUCUAGGUGAAAGCCAACCUCUUCAGCGUUCCUUGCCUCCCUCGGCUUCCCCAUGUGGAGUAGUAUUGAGUUCUGGGAAUUGUCUUUGUUCUUCCUGAAGAUUCUCACUCAGGGUCUGUCACAUGGUUGUCUCCAGAGGGUGGCUGGGAUUGGAGACACAUGGCUUCUUCAUGCAGUCGGCUGACCUCACAUGGCACUACUGGGUUCUAAGGACAAGCAUCGUGGGGACCGGAAGCAGAAAUUACGUUUCCUAAAAGUUGGGCUUGGAAACCACUACUUUUAUUGGCCAAGCAGUAUUGUGGGCUGAGCCAUUUGCUCUCAAAAUUCAUCUGACCCUUGAAAUGCAUUACCUCAGAGCACAAAUGUACUUGGAGAUGGAGACAUUAAGAAGCCAUCUAAUUAAAAUGAGGUUGUGAGGGGGGCUGUAAUCUAGAAGGAUCAUUAUGGAGAGAAACAUGAGCAGGAGCACAUAGUGGAAGGGUCUCCACUGAAGAACACAGCAAGGAGGACAUUUGUAUAUCAAGGCUACUGGCCUCAGGAUAAAUCAAACUUGUCGACACCUUAGUGGUGGAUUUCGAGCCUCCAGAAAUGGAAUAAAUUAAAGACACAGAAAUGACUUUCUGAUGCUGAA